AGGCGCGGUUCUGAGGCUGGGUUGGGAGGAAAGCAGUCUAGGAGCUUAAGCUAGAUUGUGCUUCCUAUCCUACUUCUAAAGGCUACCGUCUCAGCUUUGCAGGUGUAUUAUGAGAUUGGCUGGCAGCUAUUUCUGAUCAAGUUCUGCAGCUGGCAGGAAAGCAGAGGUGCCACGAAGAUCUGUGUGCUAGUCCUCUUUGUUUCUACCUGACUCACCAGGCAGUCAAGCCAUGUUGAUUUUACCACUGUUCCCUGGGAAGUCAGUCCUGACUGGGCUAUCUGAGAAUGCUAGGGAAGCUGGAUUCAGUUUUUGUUUUUCUUUCUCUCUAAAAAAAUAAAACUGAGUUAAGGAAAACUCUCUCUGUCUGGCACCAUGCCUGCUUGUUUGGAGUGAGACCAUUCCUCCUACCCUUUGAAAUUCAGAUUGUGUUUCAUUCUGCUUGCCAUAUGAGUAUCUCAGGAUUAUUUCCAGAUGUUGGAGUUUUUAAAAGGAUGUUCUAUUCUAUGGAUAGUUACUAGUUGUUGGUGAGUUGGGCCCAAGACUUCUUACUCUAGAAUCUUGCUGAUGGCACUCCCAUAGAAGAAGUCAUUUUAUUUACACAAGCACAUUACAUGAAACCAUUGGUGGAUGAGAUCAAAAUGUGAUCUGAAUGUACCAAGUAAUACAAAAGCUGAUAUGAACCUGAAUUCUUCCCAAAGGAAGAAAACUGCAAAUGCCAGAGCCCCAAUUUAGGUCUAUAUUUUUUUCUAAUUUGUCCACCAACAUUUCUCCAAAAAUGAAGAUGUUCUCAUUUUCUCCACAUCCUUCUCAUUAUCUACUUGCAGCUCUCCAAUGAUUAUUAUUAUACUAACCUGUUCAUGGAAAUGCUUUCAUCUAUUUUUUUCUAAUGGAAGCAUACUCACAUUUUUCCAUUUAUUUUUUUCCACUUUCAUCCAAGACAUAAGUUAUCCACCCUCUCCCACAUUCCAUUUUCAAUAUUUGACCUUAAAUAUCUCCACUUGUCAAGAUGACUGACAGCUAACACUAAGACAUCAGGUGCAAUACUGAAAUUUUUUUCUUAAGAAAAAGAUCUGGAAAAAUCUUACUAUACCUUUGAAUAUUUCUGUGUCUUUGAAUAUUCUUUGCCUUAACUCCCUGCAGGACUAGAAACUCCUAACUCUCCAAAUUUCCAUAUAAAAUGUGCAUUCUCAAGAUUGUGAACAUUAAGCAGAAUAUAUACUUUAUAAUUUGACCUCUGUUAUUUAGGGAAGUGUUCACAUUUUUAAAUAUGUAAAAUCAAGUGGAAAUGUGAAUGCAAGUCUAUACCAACACUAAUAAAAUAUUUCUUAUUCUCAAUA